UUCCAGCCUUCAGACAAUACAUUUUUAUAGUUUUUAGCUACUCAAUUUGUGAGUACUUUGCUACUAUGGGCCCAGGAAGCCAAGACAAUGGGGAAAAGGACUGACACCAUGCACCCAAGUAUCACCCCACAUGAUGGAAAAGAUAAGGAUUUCCAUGGAAGACAUUAGUCAUGACCACUUAACCAAGGAUCAAACUUUUAACAUCACUAAGAGUGGGACAACACAACACUGUAUACAUGCUGGUAUGGCGCAAUAAGAGGACUCAGUAUCACUGUGAUAAAUGGAUUGCAACAGGAAGUAGAGUGUAUUUUUCUACGAUUCCACUCUGGGUUGGCUUUGUUACUUGCUUUUGCCAACAUAAUGCUGUUGAAGUGACCAGAGUGCCUGGUCUAAGCAUAGGUCUCAAUAAAUGCUCCCCCUUUCUCAUCUCCUGGCCUCCCAGAAGGUAGCUCAUUACACAGUAGUAACCAACUGGUAUAGUCAUCUAUUUAAUAUUCUUGCUAUUAGUUAAAUGGAAACUAUUCCUGAGGAAAUAAUCAGAAAAAAUUACCAUGUGGGACAAUCUACAAAACAACUGGCUUUGAUGGUAUAGAAGGAUUAGAGUCAUGAAAAACAACAACAAAAUUGCGAGCUGGUUUUAGAUCAACUAGAUGUGUUGGUCAGCUUUUCGUUGCUGUAACCAACAUACCCGACAAGGACAACUUAGAGGAGGAAAAGUUUAUUUUGGCUCAUGGUUUCAGAGCUUCAGUCCAUGGAUGGCUGACUUUGUAACUCAUUCUGGGACUGAGGUGAGGCAGAACCUCAUGGCAAGGCAUGGUAGAGGAAAGUGGCUCAACUCAAGGCAGGAAGGAAGCCGAGAGGUGAAGGGGCUGAAGUGCAGAUGCACCCUUCCAGGGUACGCCCCCCAGGGACCCACCUCCUCCAGCCACUCCCCACCU
rnacentral:lncRNA from 1 species